UCACUUCUGGAUGAUCCCGCGGCGUAUUAGUUAGUUGGUGAGGUAAAGGCCCACCGAGACGAUGAUACUUAGCCGAUCUGAGAGGGUAAUCUCUCUUACUUGGGACUGAGACACGGCCCAAACUCCUACGGGAGGCAGCAGUAGGGAAUCUUUCACAAUGGACGAAAGUCUGAUGGAGCAAUGCCGCGCGAGUGAAGAAGGGUUUCGGCUCGUAAAACUCUGUUGUUAAAGAAGAACACCUUUGAGAGUAACUGUUCAAGGGUUGACGGUAUUUAACCCGAAAGCCACGGUUAACUACGUGCCAUCAGUCGCGGUAAUACCUAAGUGCGCAGCGUUGCCCGGAAUUUUUGGGCCUAAAGCGAGUGCACGGCGCUUUUCUCAGCCUGAUGUUGAAAUGCUUCGGCCUUACCCGUAGAAGUGCGUCCUUAAACUGGGGCACUUUGAGUGCACUAAAGG
rnacentral:rRNA from 1 species